rnacentral:lncRNA from 1 species
UGAGUUGUUAUAGCUUUCUGUGAUUUGUCUCUUUUUGUUUACCAUUUCAGAAUAAUGACUGAGGAGAUGAGACAUCUUUUUUGAACAAAUGUUGGUGACGCAUUCUUGUGUUAUGAUUCUUGCAGAUGGAUGAAGAUGAUUCUGAUGGUGAGGAUUCUGAGGAAGAAGAGCCUACACCUAAGAAGCCUGCAUCAAGCAAGAAGAGAGCUAAUGAAACUACCCCUAAAGCACCUGUGUCAGCAAAGAAGGCGAAAGUAGCAGUUACUCCUCAGAAAACAGGUAUAGAUACAAACCAUUCUCUUACAUUAUUCACUAAAUUGGGAAACACGAGUAUUCAUUUGAACCUGCAUCGUCUUCUUUGGCACAGAUGAGAAGAAGAAAGGGGGAAAGGCUGCAAACCAGAGCCCAAAGUCGG